rnacentral:rRNA from 1 species
CCUACGGGUGGCAGCAGUGAGGAAUAUUGGUCAAUGGGCGCGAGCCUGACCCAGCCACGUAGCGUGAAGGAUGACUGCCCUACGGGUUGUAAACUUUUUUUAUAAAGGAAUAAAAUGAGGUACGUGAGUCUUUUUGUCUGUAUGUUAUGUAUACGGAUAGGCUCACGUCGUGCCAGAAGCCGCGGUACGACGGAGGAUCCGAGCGUUAUGUGGACUUAUUGGGUUUAAAGGGAGCGUAGAUGGGUUGUUAAGUCAGAUGUGAAAGUCUGCGGCUCAACCGUAAAAUGGCAAUUGAUACUGGCAGCCUUGAGUGCAGUAGAGGUAGGCGGAAUUCGUGGUGUAGCGGUGAAAUGCGCAGAGAUCACGAGGAACUCCGAUUGCGAAGGCAGCCUACUAGACUGCCACUGACACUGAUGCUCGAAAGUGUGGGUAUCAAACAGGAUUAGAUACCCGAGUAGUC